rnacentral:misc_RNA from 1 species
AGUCGUAACAAGGUCUCCGUAGGUGAACCUGCGGAGGGAUCAUUACAGAGUUCAUGCCCUAACGGGUAGAUCUCCCACCCUGUGUUAUUAUUACCUUUGUUGCUUUGGCGGGCCGCCCGGCCUCGGCCAGGCUACCGGCUCCGGCUGGUAAGCGCCCGCCAGAGGACCCCAAACCCUGAAUGUUAGUGUCGUCUGAGUACUAUAUAAUAGUUAAAACUUUCAACAACGGAUCUCUUGGUUCUGGCAUCGAUGAAGAACGCAGCGAAAUGCGAUAAGUAAUGUGAAUUGCAGAAUUCAGUGAAUCAUCGAAUCUUUGAACGCACAUUGCGCCCCUUGGUAUUCCGAGGGGCAUGCCUGUUCGAGCGUCAUUACAACCCUCAAGCAAUGCUUGGUGUUGGGCCCCGCCGCUCACCCGGCGGGCUCUAAAAUCAGUGGCGGUGCCGUCGGGCUCUGAGCGUAGUAAUUCUUCUCGCUACAGGGUCCCGGUGGAUGCUGGCCAACAACCCCCAAUUUUCUAUGGUUGACCUCGGAUCAGGUAGGGAUACCCGCUGAACUUAAGCAUAUCAAUAAGCGGAGGA